AACGAACGCUGGCGGCGUGGAUAAGACAUGCAAGUCGAACGGGACAGUUUGGUAGCAAUAUUAAGCUGUUCAGUGGCAAACGGGUGCGUAACACGUGGAUAACAUGCCGGGAAGCGAGGGAUAGCCCAGGGAAACUUGGAUUAAUACCUCAUGUGGUCGCAAGACUAAAGGCGGGGCAACCUGUCGCUUCCUGAUUGGUCCGCGGCCUAUCAGCUAGUUGGUGAGGUAAAGGCUCACCAAGGCUACGACGGGUAGCUGGUCUGAGAGGAUGACCAGCCACACUGGAACUGAGACACGGUCCAGACACCUACGGGUGGCAGCAGUCGAGAAUCUUUCACAAUGGGGGCAACCCUGAUGGAGCGACGCCGCGUGGAGGAUAAGGUCUUCGGAUUGUAAACUCCUGUCAUGCGAGAGCAAGGUACCUUAGGUAACUCUAUGUUAUUUGAUAGUAUCGCAAGAGGAAGAGACGGCUAACUCUGUGCCAGCAGCCGCCGUAAAAC
rnacentral:rRNA from 1 species